CCUACGGGUGGCAGCAGUGGGGAAUAUUGCACAAUGGGGGUAACCCUGAUGCAGCGACGCCGCGUGAGUGAAGAAGUAAUUCUUUAUGUAAAGCUCUAUCAGCAGGGAAGAAAAUGACGGUACCUGAGUCAGAACCCCCGGCUAACUACGUGCCAGCAGCCGCGGUCAUACGUAGGGGGCACGCGUUAUCCGGAUUGACUGGGUGUACAGGGAGCUUAGACGGCAAUGCAAGUCUGGAGUGAAAGGCGGGGGCUCAACCCCCGGACUGCUCUGGAAACUGUAGGGCUGGAGUGCAGGAGAGGUAAGUGGAAUUCCUAGUGUAGCGGUGAAAUGCGUAGAUAUUAGGAGGAACACCAGUGGCGAAGGCGGCUUACUGGACUGUAACUGACGUUGAGGCUCGAAAGCGUGGGGAGCAAACAGGAUUAGAUACCCCUGUAGUC
rnacentral:rRNA from 1 species